rnacentral:rRNA from 1 species
AUGAAGGUGAAAGAAAUUUAUUUGGCAGGGAGGGAGGUGGUUUUGAACUCGGGGAAUUUGGCCAGGAUUUGGAGUGAUCCAAUUAGGGGUGAAGAUCCCUUGCGAUAUAAAUUCCCGGCCCUGUUCAGUAUAUGUAAUUAUCAGGAAAUUACAGUAGCUGACUUCAAAAAAUUUGAAGGUGAGGACCUUUUUAGAAGGAAUCUUCAUCCGCCUCUAAAAGAUCAAUGGAAUGAACUGAUUGGGGUGGUGAACUCUUGGCAGCUUUCUGAGGAGACAGAUGGUAUUCAAUGGAGAUUGGGGAAUAAAGGAAAAUUCUCGACCAAAUCGGUUUACUCCUAUCUGGAGAGAAAUUUGGCAGGAUGUGAUUUUAGGUGGAUCUGGAAAGCAAAAAUCCCCCUGAAAAUUCAAAUUUUUCUCUGGCAACUAUUCCAAGAUGCGGUGUUGACAAGAGAUGUCAUGAAAAGACGAAAGUGGGCUGGGAAUCCUAAAUGCUCGUUAUGUAAUGAAGUGGAAACCUCACAACACCUCUUUUUUACUUGUCCUGUGGCUAGGGUGGUGUGGAGGACAGUUGGGUGUGUUCUUGGCACCUCGCUGUGUCCAAACAAUCUUUGGCAGUACUUCUCCUGGUGUUAUAUUUUCCUUCCUGAUGGGGCUAAAUUCUAUACUUUUGGUUUGGCAGCUAUGGGCUGGGCGAUUUGGAUCAGUCGCAAUCAGGCUACCUUUGAGCACAAAUCUCUUAAAAGUCCGUUUAAUGUGGUGUAUGCUGCUUGUGGCUUUUUGACAUAUUGGGCAGGUUUGAUGACUGGAGAGGAUAGGGAGUCCAUGGAGCGCGGAGCCAAGAUGCUGAGGUCGAAUGCAUCGGCGAUGAUGAGGAUAUGUGCACCUCCGGCACCGACGAACUGA